rnacentral:tRNA from 1 species
GGGCGCUUAGCUCAGCUGGUAGAGCGGCAUGCUUACACCGUGUUGGUCGGGGGUUCGAAUCCCUCAGCGCCCA